AGUGAACGCUGGCGGUAGGCCUAACACAUGCAAGUCGAACGGCAGCACAGUAGGAGCUUGCUCUUACGGGUGGCGAGUGGCGGACGGGUGAGGAAUACAUCGGAAUCUACUUUUUCGUGGGGGAUAACGUAGGGAAACUUACGCUAAUACCGCAUACGACCUACGGGUGAAAGCAGGGGAUCUUCGGACCUUGCGCGAUUGAAUGAGCCGAUGUCGGAUUAGCUAGUUGGCGGGGUAAAGGCCCAUCAAGGCGACGAUCCGUAGCUGGUCUGAGAGGAUGAUCAGCCACACUGGAACUGAGACACGGUCCAGACUCCUACGGGAGGCAGCAGUGGGGAAUAUUGGACAAUGGGCGCAAGCCUGAUCCAGCCAUACCGCGUGGGUGAAGAAGGCCUUCGGGUUGUAAAGCCCUUUUGUUGGGAAAGAAAAGCAGCAGGUUAAUACCCCGCUGUUCUGACGGUACCCAAAGAAUAAGCACCGGCUAACUUCGUG
rnacentral:rRNA from 1 species